GUCUUCGUGGAGUAGUCCAACUCACUCCCACUUGCUGGGCCUGAGAUAUCUAUUCCGGGAGAGUCGGUGGUUCGAACCCACCUGAAGACA